CGUCGCCGGCUGAUGGCUGUGGGCACGUGCUCCCGAAAGGCUCUGGGCGGCUGCGCACCUUCCACCCGCGCCUGAGGAGACGCGGCCAGCCGUGAGCGCCUGAGGACGCGUUUGAGGGAAUAUGGUGCAUGACAUCCAUCAAGAGAAGCCUGCAGCUGUGGGGCAAGAGGGCACGAGCUUUCCCGGACCCUCACUUGACGAAUCUGGGCACCGCCAACCAGCUUAGAGUUCCCAUCAGUGAUAAAGCCUGGAGAGUAAAAACAGGUAAAAUUCCUGUAAAUUGCUGGCCUGUCUCACAAUUAAAAGGAUCUUUAGAAUCGAGGAAAUAUGAACAGAGGCGAGGACCCUCCUGAGGGUGACUCUGAUGCUGAUUUGUCACAUCUUGGUAAGCCACUCGGCCUGGCAUAGAGUCUCUGUCCCAGAGCCCCUGUCCUAGAACUUGGAUUAUCAUGGUGAGUCAGUUCAUUAUAAUCCCCCACCUGGCACCAGCACCACCUCACCGACAAGGUGCUGUGUAGGUUUGUAAUGAAUAGACAAAGGAACGACUGAGCCUAAGGACAGGGCAACUGGCGGGAGGGAAAGUGUGGACAGAGGGGUCCAGGGCAGCCUGACCUUCAGGGGCUGGGUGACAAACACGCUCUCCACGAAGGAGACGGCAAUGGAGAUGAGCCACUUGAGGGAGCUGGCCCGUCCAUAGUGCAGGCCGUAGAGCAUGGUGAAGAAGGCCGCCACACUGCUGGUGGCCGCCACCAGGAGCCAGCCCACCAGGACGCACCACCAGGGCAGGCCUCGAGGACGCUUGCUGACCAUCGGGAAGCUGAAAUGCAGGAACUCCGGCCCUGCCAUGUUCUGCAGACAGAUGACUUCUUCCACCAAGGCCAGCAGUUGAUUGAUGUCCAUUAGGGUUGCUGAGUCCCAGCCAGAGGCAGGUGAUGGCACCUUCAGAGCUUUAAACAGGGAGCUGACGAGUCUCCACAUAUCCUGCGAGGUUGGCUGGGUCCUUGGGAACACCCCAGAACAUGAUGCUGGUCAGCAUGGUGCAGAGGAGAAGGGAGAAGCAGCAGGACACCCUCUGGACACGGGUGAAGUUGCUCCGAGCUGAGCAGCUGAAGAUGGAGUACCAGAUGUGUCCAUCCUGGAAGCCUGUGGAGGUCUUCAUGAAAAACAGGUGGCUGUGAGAAGGCAGGGAGAGAGGGGUAGGAAUGGGAGAAGGCUGGUCUCUUGGGAUGAGAGGGAAGAGUUUGUUUCUAAGAUUUAUCUUCUAUCUUCUCUCAUGUGGAAGACAUACAGCAUUUUAGCAUCACUUAGAGUUAAUGAUGGGGGUUCUGAACAGAGUGGGUUGGAAUCCUAGGUGGUCCUCCUACCGGCUGUGUGUCCUCGGGCGAGUUACUUUACCCUCUGCAUGUCAGUUUACUCGUCUGUAAAAUGGGGGUUCUAACAGAACCUGCCCUCAUGGGAUUGUUGAAAGGAUUAAGUGAUUAUUUUUGUAAAGCAUUUGGCAAAGUAGCUGGCAUAUAUGUGAGUUCAUCAGUAUUGGCAAUUAUUAUUUUGUUAUAAUUUUAAUAUAAUCAUAUAAAGUAGCUGGCAUAUAUGUGAGUUCAUCAGUAUUGGCAAUUAUUAUUUUGUUAUAAUUUUAAUAUAAUCAUAUAAAUCUAAUAUUAUUAGAUUUAUUAUAAUUAGUGCAUUAGAGGAUACUGGUUAAAAAUCCCAGGCUCUAACUUCAAAGUCAGUUUGAGAGAAUAAAAAUGGCACCAUAUUCUCCUUAGGCAUGUGUGUUAGUCUAGAAUUUAGACUAAAAUUUAGUUAGUCUAGAAUUUAGUCUAACCACAGGACUUCCACAGGGGCCCAGAUUCUCCUGAGAGUGUGCGGAACUGAUAUUCCCAGCUGGCACCUGUUCUGGUGGCUAAUUCUAGCACCCCUCAGGCUUGUACGGUACUUUGACCAUCAUUCUGUGCUGUGGGAGUGGCCUGGAGUAGAGGGGCGUAAGGAGAGAGGUCAGUUGCCAACAACAGUGGUUUUCCACGUGAUUGUUCUACUCGUCGUUCUAUUGACAGUUCCACAAAUAUUUGGUGAGCCUGGUGCUGUGUGCCAGGUGUUGUCCUGGGCACCAGGAUUCAUGGGGGAAUGACAUGGCCCUGCCUUCAGGCAGCUCUUUGUCUAGUUUCCAGGCUUGAUGCAUUGGGAGGAUCAUAUCUGCUCCUGUAAUGGAGCACUUACUAUGAGGCCCUCACUGUGCUAAGUAUGCUACCCACAUCAUUUCACAGGAGCUGCACAGGUCCCCUUGGGGGAGGCUGACUGAAUGACUCAUUUUUCAGAAGUGGAAGCUGAGGCCUGGAGAGGCUGAGCUGUUCCCCGUGGCAGCUAGGAGGAAAAGUCACCUUUCAGUAAAUGCACUAGAAAUAGACUUUGUUUUGAACCUAACUCAGAAGCCAUUUGAAGUUGAGCUCACAAACUCAAAUGCUUAAAGGGACCCAGAGAGAUGUAAAUAAGUUAAAUGAAGUGGGUUGGGAGUAAGGUACUAGGGAUUGGUGAGGAUUGUGACAAAAUGGAGAACACAUGGCCCUUCAAAGAAGAAAGCCAGUAGUCCGCUCCAGCAGAUUGGUGUCAGGAAGGAACACUGGCCCAGCACCUUCAUACUUGCCAGAUUUUUGCGUAAUCUCUUGAUUUUUUAAUAUUGGUUGGGAACAGUCUAAAUGCCCAUUGAUGGGAGAAUGGUUUAAUUAAUUGUGGGACAUCCAGUCUGUGGAAUAUUAUGCAGCCAAUAAGGAAAAGUUUGACCAAAACAUACUGUCCUGGAAGGAUGUUCAUCGUCUGUCAUCAAAGAAAUAAGGUGACAUAUUUAGAGUAAUGCCAUUUUAAAAGAUAUAAAAUACACAACAGUCUGUGGUGUAUUUUACGUUCACGUGCUCAUGAGCGUGUAUGUGUACAUUUGUACCUGCUUUCAUAUGUUUGACCAGAUGUGGAAGGAAGGAAGGAAAGCCAAGGGACACACAUGCUGAAACACCCAUCUAGGGUAAAACUGCUUGAAGAAGGAGCCCCAGAUGGCCAGACAUGCAAUCACCAUUCAAACCAGUCUGUUCACUCAUAUAAAAUAUAUUAUUCUAUGACAUGUGUAAGGAAAUAUGGAUAACUGUUCAACCACUUCACCACCUCAAAGAUAAUUCUGUGUCAGAGGGUCCAUGUCCCUCCAGGGCCUCUCAAUCCCAACAGGAAAAACCGAUUGGUCAUUAAUGUCACACGCUUGAAGCUACCCAGGCCCAAUAGCUGAAAUGUGCUUUUAUUCUGCUUCAACUGGAUUGCGGUGCAACUUCUCUCGGGAUGAAAGAACAAGGUAAACAGCAUUUGCUUACAAAGAAAAAAAAAUACCUGAAUUGUUUCCUGUCCUGUUCUGUGGCCACCGGAAAUACUUUGUCAAGGACACAGUCUCCGACAUCGAUGGACAGCCACGAGUUGCAGAGGAAAUGCCACUUCCGGUCCCUAGCCAGGUCAUGCACCAGCACCCGGCUCACAUACCUGGAGAAGGGACCCACACUUCUGAGGACAAGGGGCUGAUCCCAAGUACUCUUUGUGAAACACUGAAUGCUCAACUGCAUGGCAGAGUCUGCUUUUUGGGAACCAGCCUACAGGAAGCUCAAGAAGCUGGACCCGUUGUUGGACUACCUGCAGUAGCCACUGGCGGAAGAGAGACAGACCCCUGUUCUGGGAGAAAUGGAGCCUAGCAGCUGAAAGGAGAGCAUAGCCAGUACCUGACUCCAGACAGAAGCAGUACUCCAGGGGGCCCAGGGCCGAGGAUGUGUUGCAGAAGAUGGUGAAGCUUGUCAGAACGGGUGCAGAAAUGGUGCUGAGGAAGGAUGCUUCUGGGGAAAUGAGUGGUGCUUCACCCUGACUCUGAGCAGACCUGCAGCAUACGUCCACUUCUUUUGCACCAGCCACUUGCACGGAUGAAUCAAUGGGCAGGCAUAUUGCUGGAGAGUGGCCAGGAGGAUAUACAGCUCUGCCUGGGAGAGCAUCCAGGGCACUUUCUUGACUCUGGUGUAACUCUCACUCUACUUGGAAGUGAUUGUCCUCAGCCCUGUGUCCCUGUGGGUACACUGGGGACCUGGGGACUGUAUCUCCAUCUGAGAGACCGCAUGUCACCUCCGGCUUUAUGAUACUGGCUCGAACUCUAACUUCGGAGGUCUGUAAAAGUCUACAAAGCAAAGCUAAGAUGCCAGACACAGAGGAUCUUCUUAAUCUUAAGAGGGAAGAGGGCCCAGUAACCCUGAAUGAGGAAAUCAAGAGAAAUAGUUGCUGCCUCUGAUCCUGCCAUGAAUUAACUGAGUGACUUUUGGAAAGUCAUUUAACCUCUCUGGUCCUCAAAUUCUAUAUGUGGAAAAGGAGGGCUGUGGACAGUAGGGAGGACAUCUGAUGUUUUUUCCCCUGUCCCACAAUCCAGGCCCCCCUUCUUUUGGUAAGAGCACUUACAGGUAACAUUUUCCCUGAGGAACCAUCCCUCCCCAACUCUCAAGUCCUUGGUUUGGGUGAAGCUGACUCUGCACCAUGUUCCAGAAGAACAUAUGAUUCUGGUCUGCUUAAACUGAAUACUACUUUCCCCUGGCCUUAGCAGUGGGUCCUGGAGGGAACAUGAACCAAGCCUGGACCAGUAGAGACAACCUCAGGACUUCUGGAAAUAUCCACAAAGAGGCGCUCCUUCUCUAGGUUAAAGAUUGAAGCCUGGGGCCAUCCUGCUACUGCUCGGGAAGAGGGAAUCAGAAUGAAGCCUAAGUAGAACCAAGAGAUGGGGAGACAGAGAUUUCUGAUGAAAUUGCGUGACUGGAUCCAGCUGUGCCUAAACCCUGGACUUUUACUUUUCUGAGCUGAUAAAAUUUCCCUUUGACUUGAGCCAGUUUGAACUGCUUUUCUGUCCAUUGCUACUCAAAGAGUCCUGGCAAACACAUUUGCGAUGAACUUUCAGCUCUGUGAUUGCUGUUGGUGGCCUACCCAGCAGCCAGUACCCCGCCCUUCUUCCUGGUUGCCAGAAUCCACCUUCUCCCACAAAGCUGGAGGUGCUGGAUACCUGCUUUCCAGAAUCCCUUUCAGCUGGGGUGCAUGACCCCAGCUGAUGGUGUCUGAGGGGGAAGAUUGUUGGGGAUGAGGGGGGAAAUGUCCCCCCUAGUAACAAGAGCUACAGAGAGGGAAAUGGGCUUGUGCAACUGCUGGAUAAUGCUGGGCUGACAUGUGAUGUCUGGAACUCCAGCGGCCAUGUUGAUGAGAUGCAAGCCUAAGGACAAGGCAGAAGCUCUGAGGAUGGCAGAACAGGACAACAGAGUGAGCCUCGUCCUUGCUGGUGACACUGAGCAACUGAACCAACCCUGGAAUAGCUUACCUCCUAACUUCUUAGUAUGUGGAAUAAUAAAGCCUUGAACCUAAAGCCACCUUAGUUGGGCUUUCUGUUGCUUGGAGCCUAAAGCAACAUAACGAAUACAAACUCGGAUGUUUUAGAAUUCUGUAACAAUGGUUGAAUGUUUAACUGCAUAUAUCACUGUCCCUUAACAUCUAUAGAGCAAGGUCAUCAACACAGACAGUGUCUGUCUAAUUCUCAGUUAUAAACCUGGCACCUAGCACAGCAGCCAGCACAGAGUGGACGCUGAGAAACAUUUGACAAAUGAGCAUAUUUGUGAAAGAGUUUGGAAAACAGGAACCUAAUUUUUGGUGCCAGCCACCACGGAGUAAGCCCACCAGAGCCUAUUUCUUCCAUUGAUUACAACAAAAAACCUGGGCAGAUUUCAAAAAGAAACUUCCCGAGGAUUCUGAAAAGUAAACAACAGCAGACAGGGUAGCCUGGGUCAUGAAACUGCACAAUGAAUGAAGAAAACAAAAACCUCAAGAGAAAUCCCCCUCUGUUUAGCCAGAGAACCAGGAAAAGGGACCCGAUGAGCUCGAGAGCACAGGGAAAAUAUCUGUUUUUGUUUUGUGUUCUCUUUUUUCUCUCUUGGCCCUGACCCAGGCUGUCCUCCCUCGGAGCUACAUUGACUGUGUAGGGUGACGCAAACACCAAAUCCCCGAGAGAAAACCCAUCUUUCUAGCCAGAGAAGUGAUGAAGAAAGAUCUGUGGGAGGUGGAGAUUGUGGAGGGAACCCUGAAAAUGAGAGAUAUGGAGACAAGGAUCCCCCACUUCCAUGAACAACCCAGCACAAACCAUGACCUCACCCACAAAUUAUACAGGUGCAAAACAGACCCAAAGACAGACAGCCACGGCUUUGUUGAAGUCAAGCUACAACAUAAACACCACCUAGAGUGGCACCUGAGUGGGGCAGACCCAAACAGCUUUGGAAACUGAACGGACAUGGGAACCACUGCUCACAGA